rnacentral:sRNA from 1 species
UGUCUGAUGCAAUCGGACGGCUCAAAUCUGAUUGUGGAAUGGC